ACCGGCCCUGGAGCUGGUGUGCGCCUGCCAGAGGACCCCCAAACUCUGGUUAUCUGUGUCGUCUGAGUACUAUACAAUCGUUAAAACUUUCAACAACGGAUCUCUUGGUUCUGGCAUCGAUGAAGAACGCAGCGAAAUGCGAUAAGUAAUGAGAAUUGCAGAAUUCAGUGGAUCAUCGAAUCUUUGAACGCACAUUGCGCCCCUUGGUAUUCCGAGGGGCAUGCCUGUUCGAGCGUCAUUUCAGCCCUCAAGCUCUGCUUGGUCUUGGGCCUGGCCGCGAUGGCCGGUCCUAAAAUCAGUGGCGGUGCCGUCGCAGGCUCCAAGCGUAGUACAUCUCUCGCUCUGGAAGCCCGGCGGUGCCUGCCAGACAACCCCUAAUUGUCUCUUACGGUUGACCUCGGAUCAGGUAGGGAUACCCGCUGAACUUAAGCAUAUCAAUA
rnacentral:rRNA from 1 species